CUCCUGUUUCACAAGAGACAGGCUGGCUGCUCAUGUGACAGCUAUUCCUUACAUCCAGAGCCUGGAUUCUGUUUAAGUGACACUCUUUCCAAUAUGAUCAUGGGAAGGCAGACCCCACCCAGCUCCAGGAGAGAAUUUUGUUUGAUCCAAAUCAUGAUGGUUGCAUCCCUCUUGUCGGUAAUGGAUUGGUGGUGUCUAACUUGGAAAAAAAAACCAAAAAAAACAGAGAGAAAGACUAAGGAGAGAGGAGCCUUCUGGAGGCAUGCUUUGGCAUUAGAGUAGCCAUGUUGUGCUUAGUCUGAGCAUGCAGCCAGUGCCCGAGGGGAAGAGGAAACUUACUUUGGUUCAGAGCCUGGACUUUUAGAUAUGUAAGAUCUUAUUGCUUAAGCAAGUUUCAUAGUGGCAGAUUGUCAUUUGGAAACCUAAAGAACCAUGACUGAUACAUUAACACGUAUUCCCCCAAUUUUUUUUCAAACAGAGCAGAGUCUAAAUUAUUGAAGCAACUGGAGAGAAAUGAAAAAAAAAUGAUAAUAAUAAAAGGCUGGGUGAUGUAUCAAACAGGCUUUGAUGUUCACUGUAUAUUGACUGAUAUAGGCAGGUCUUUUACUAGCAUCUGAAAUACACUACGCAGUUUGCAGACACGCUGGAAGAACAAGAAGACAGUCUUAUGCUUGCACAGCGCAUUGUUGGAUGUGAGUCCCAAAGCAGUCCUCACCAGUUUAGAUCAUGAUCCCAAUUUUGCAAAGAUGGGUACUAAAGUACUAAAGAACAGAAAACGGAAAUAGAGUAGAAUCACUAAGCUGUCCAUCAAAAACCUUCCUGUGUUGAUAGUAAAGAAGCCCCUGAAAGAGUAGCAGCUCUGCUAGAAACUAGGUUCCCCAGCUCCGGCAGAGUGUGGCUUUGCUAACCAAGCUCUUCCCAGUGGACUGUAAGUAGAAACAGGCUUUAAGGCAAUGCAUUUUUGUUCUUCCAUGUGCUGUGUCCCCUUGAGUUGGAACAGAGAUAUGCCAGGGAUUUGGCUUCAAUAAUAAGGAGCUAACAGAGCAAAGGUGUGGAAGGAACCUGGGCUCCUGAAUGACUGUGUGGUGUGGGAUUGCCCCGCCCCCCCGCCCCUCCCCCCACAUUCACCGACACGGAUGUGAAUGAAUGGUCAGAGCUGAGGCAGAAAUCCUGAUUACCAUGUCAGCCACUUGUUUCUGAGAACCACUUACUAAUCUAAGAAGUAACAUCAGGAUUUUUAGGAGGGGAAGAGGGGGCUCUCCAAGAAAUACUGUUGAG
rnacentral:lncRNA from 1 species